rnacentral:rRNA from 1 species
UACGUAGGGGGCAAGCGUUGUCCGGAUUUACUGGGCGUAAAGCGCGUGUAGGCGGCUACGCAGGUCCGUUGUGAAAACUGAAGGCUUAACCUUCAGACGUCGACGGAAACCGCGUGGCUAGAGUCCGGAAGAGGAGAGUGGAAUUCCUGGUGUAGCGGUGAAAUGCGCAGAUAUCAGGAAGAACACCAAUGGCGAAGGCAGCUCUCUGGGACGGUACUGACGAUGAGACGCGAAAGCGUGGGGAGCGAACAGG